UACAGAGGGGGCAAGCGUUGUUCGGAAUUACUGGGCGUAAAGCGCACGUAGGCGGCUUGGUAUGUCGGGUGUGAAAUCCCCGGGCUCAACCUGGGAACUGCAUCCGAAACUGCCUUGCUCGAGUAUGGGAGAGGGAAGUGGAAUUUCCGGUGUAGCGGUGAAAUGCGUAGAUAUCAGGAGGAACACCUAUUGCGAGGGCAGCUCGCUGGGACGUUACUGACGCUGAGACGCGAAAGCGUGGGGAGCAAACAGG
rnacentral:rRNA from 1 species